rnacentral:guide_RNA from 1 species
AUCAUACACAGUAGUACAUAUGUAGUGAUAGACGUGAUUAAU